AGAAUGGGCUGUCCCCGCUUCACAUGGCUGCGCAGGGGGACCACGUGGAAUGUGUGAAGCACCUGCUCCAAUACAAGGCGCCUGUCGAUGACGUCACCCUGGAUUACCUGACGGCUCUUCAUGUUGCUGCACACUGUGGGCACUACCGUGUAACCAAACUCCUGCUGGACAAGAGAGCCAACCCGAACGCAAGAGCCCUGAAUGGUUUUACUCCACUGCACAUUGCCUGCAAGAAAAACCGCAUCAAAGUCAUGGAACUGCUGGUGAAAUAUGGGGC
rnacentral:lncRNA from 1 species